GCACCAUCUCUUACUUGAUNUACUCGGCUACGAACCGAGCGGUCGGAGGUUCGAAUCCUCCCGGAUGCACCA
rnacentral:tRNA from 1 species